AGUGAACGCUGGCGGUAGGCCUAACACAUGCAAGUCGAACGGCAGCACAGUAAGAGCUUGCUCUUACGGGUGGCGAGUGGCGGACGGGUGAGGAAUACAUCGGAAUCUACUUUUUCGUGGGGGAUAACGUAGGGAAACUUACGCCAAUACCGCAUACGACCUACGGGUGAAAGCAGGGGAUCUUCGGACCUUGCGCGAUUGAAUGAGCCGAUGUCGGAUUAGCUAGUUGGCGGGGUAAAGGCCCACCAAGGCGACGAUCCGUAGCUGGUCUGAGAGGGUGAUCAGCCACACUGGAACUGAGACACGGUCCAGACUCCUACGGGAGGCAGCAGUGGGGAAUAUUGGACAAUGGGCGCAAGCCUGAUCCAGCCAUACCGCGUGUGUGAAGAAGGCCUUCGGGUUGUAAAGCCCUUUUGUUGGGAAAGAAAAGCAGCAGGUUAAUACCCCGCUGUUCUGACGGUACCCAAAGAAUAAGCACCGGCUAACUUCGUG
rnacentral:rRNA from 1 species